rnacentral:misc_RNA from 1 species
UACAGAGGGUGCAAGCGUUAAUCGGAAUUACUGGGCGUAAAGCGUGCGUAGGUGGUUUGUUAAGUCAGGUGUGAAAUCCCCAGGCUCAACCUGGGAACUGCAUUUGAUACUGGCAAGCUAGAGUGUGGUAGAGGAUAGUGGAAUUCCCGGUGUAGCGGUGAAAUGCGUAGAUAUCGGGAGGAACAUCAGUGGCGAAGGCGGCUAUCUGGACUAACACUGACACUGAGGCACGAAAGCGUGGGGAGCAAACAGG